AACGAAGCGUCGUCUUCUGCUAGUUUGUUUACCAAAAGUGGUCUCGCCAUCUGCUAUUCACAUUGAAAACUAUCACAAAAAUAUUUCCCGCCAAGGUUGAUUUUUAAAAUUCAGCAGUUCGUUUUCGUAGUUCGUCUUUUCUCUUUUGGCAACAGCUAGGUCCCCCGUCAGCUGGAAUCUCACUAUUUUAGUAUUGUGCAUUUGUCUUUUUCUUUUUCAAUUUUUAUGGAAAUGGUCAUAGUCAACUUAUAAUAAAAAUGACUUGAUUAACUCCAAGCUAAAAGAACAUUUUUACUAGGAAGAUCGAACCUCCAUUGUAUAUUUGAUGGAUUUGAUGUGCUAUGCACAAUAUGCCUUUCUUAAAGCUUUUAUGUUCGUUAUUGAGCACAUUUUUCCUGAAUACUGAAUUGUUCAACGUUAUUGAGAAUUGAGAUCCCUAAAUGUUUAACUGUGUAAACAUUAUGCUUUAAUGAGUAAUUCGUAUUUCGAUUCGAAAUUGUUCUAUUUUGUAGUCAAUUUGAGUUUUGGUUUUAUUACAUGUUGAUGUUAUACUUUUUCGUUUUAUUACAUGUGGUCUUUAUCUUUGCCAUAAUCACUACCGCAGGCAGACGGGCUCUAACUGGGUUUGGUAGGAAGCCAAGAAAUUGUUCGAUAUGUAAGAACGGGAAACCGAGGACCUGAAGGAUUCAGUCCACGAUUUUCCCUCUACCUCUCUGCUAUGCUGACUCAUGGCGCCAGUAUUGCUCAUCACAAACAGUGACAUCAUGAAAUGAAUAUGGAUUGAUCAUGUGUUCGAAACUUGGAUAAGAUUGACAGAGGAAUAUUUUCAAAAAAGCCGACUGUCCUUCAAACGGUUCGAAAUUUGUAUAAAACCCAUCCCCAGCAACGACAACCUGCAGAAGGAAAGGCACGUAAAACUUGUCAUG